CCUUACAUGGGCGAGCCAGGAAGGUCGCCCCUUUCACCGGCCCUGUCCUUCACUAGAGUGAACGAAGCAUACAUAUAAGAUAGGUAACAUAAGUCAUAAGAAAUAUUGUCCUUCAGUUCUCAAGCAAAAUGCAAAAUUCUUAUAUCUAGGCCAGAUACGUCGCAUGCAUCAUGAACACGUACGUUCCUCCAGCAAUCGAACUCCUUAAUGAAACCAUGCUCGAGCAAACUGUGGUGGUGGCGCCCGCCAAAUUAUCUGCAAAUUUAUAUGUCAGCACCUGCAUGAGGUAGGUAUAUAUACGUAAAUGCUAAAAAUCUGAUGUUAGAUUUUUCAGCCAUGGCAAAUCGAAUAUUUUUCAUCGAAAUUUAUAUUGGCGUGAAGAUGACAAAUUUAAUUUGCAAGCACGUUGAUUUUUUGAAGAAAAAAAUAAACUGAGAUAGGAUUUGCUAUACUUGCCAACAAAACUUAUCAUCCAUGACGGACAUAAUUUAUUAUAAAAAUUAAUUGAUUUUUCAUGUCUAAAAAUCUAACGUUCACUAAAUAUUCGGAUCCUAUAUGUACAGGCAAAACGUGCGUACCCUCCCCAUAGGCCUCUCAUGAAGUCGAAAGACCAGCUGCCACCGCCGCCGCUGGCCCUCCUCUGCUGCGGCCGGUAGCCGUCCAUCAAGUCCAUCCGGACAUGCGCCGUCGCCGUCACGGCGAGCAGCAGGACAACCGCCGCGACCAUGGCGAUGUGCAAGCUCGUCCUCAUCGUCGUCGCCGGCGUACGUGCGUGCCGUUCUCCUCCCCUGGCUCUGGCCCUCUCCGUCCUUAUCCUGUACUGGCUAUAUAUGUAUGAGCCUCCGGAUGCUACGCAUGGAGACGCGGUGGGGCGCUACGUGCGCGCGAACGCUUGCCUAUAUUUGCUUUUACCAACGCGGCCUGCGAUGCAUUCAAAUUCAUGACUCUGCCCAAACCAGGAUGCCCUGGGGCAAUACAGGAAACAUUCAAACUUAUGAAUAAAGAUAACCCCCUGAAUGUCCAUUUUGUGCUGAACUUGAGAGUGCAUCACUUGUUUUUUGAAUGUGCUAGUGCAGAUCGGUCUUAUUAAGCCCCCUCUCGCACACCUUUCCGUUGAACUGUGUGCGACGAAGACAUCACACACUAUAUAAAACUUGAACCGUGUGCAGAUAAAAUGACUUGACCCAUCGCGCAUGAUUGGCUUAGCUGAACUGUGUGUGAUACCUUACACGUGGUUUCCAUGAGCAAGGCAUGCACGAUGCCUGGAAUCAUCACACAUGAUUCGCGACAACAACUUGUGUGAUUUUUAGCACAUGGUUCUGGUAAUCCAAUCGAGUGUGCUAAUGAGGCACGUCACACAUUUCGGCUCAGACCAUUGAUUCCUCUCUUCCAGGAAGAUGUUGGCACCCCAAAUGCAUAGGUUUAUACCAAGCAUCAAUUUCCCUUAAAUUGAUAGUAUCUGGCGUAUCAGCGACGUCCUGAACGGCGAUACAGAGAAUUCUGACGUAUCGGUGCUUCUUAGGAAGUAGGCGCCGACGCCUCCUCGUCGUGCUCUUCAUGCCCCUUCCCGUAUGGCAUAUAGACAGCAGCGGUGGCUGACAG
rnacentral:lncRNA from 1 species